rnacentral:rRNA from 1 species
UACGAAGGGGGCUAGCGUUGUUCGGAAUCACUGGGCGUAAAGGGCGCGUAGGCGGCCGAUCAAGUCGGGGGUGAAAGCCUGUGGCUCAACCACAGAAUUGCCUUCGAUACUGUUUGGCUUGAGACCGGAAGAGGUUAGUGGAACUGCGAGUGUAGAGGUGAAAUUCGUAGAUAUUCGGAGGAACACCAGUGGCGAAGGCGGCUCACUGGCUCGGUACUGACGCUGAGGUGCGAAAGCGUGGGGAGCAAACAGG